AGACUUUUACUCUAAAACCAAUUUUGUCCUUUAUAUCAAUUUAGAAAGUCCUCCAAUUGUUUUAGAGUCUCCAAUGUAAGACAAGAACCAGUUCUUCAAUCACUAACAAAGACAACACCAAUUGUAUUUGUAACUAUCGAUCCUCAUCCUUCAACAAUUAAAACUAUAAAAGAUCACGAGUAGUCAUCAUCCCUUAUCCACCUUGAGUUUCAUAUAAACUCAUAACAACCCGCUCCAAAAUCCUUGCAGUAUCUUAGUUGUAGAGUGGUAUCCUUCAUUUUCUUUCUAAGAAAAAAAGAAAAGAACCAAAAAAGACAAAACCAACAAAAAAAAAAACAGAAAAAAAGAGGGAGUCUGAGGAACAAGGGGAGCUCACUGGCGCCGUCACCAUUGCCAGAGUUGCUGUCUUCUUGCUGGAACCACCACCACCGGCAAAUCAUCAUCAAGAAAGCAAUAGAAAACAAAACAGCAAAGAAAAGGGACCAAAAAAAAAUAGAAGAAUGAAAUUUCUGGGUUGGUACGUGAAGAUAUCACUUCUUUCCGCCAUGGUUGGAGGUUCAAUGGAAUUGUUCAUGAUCAAAACUGGCUUCUGUAUGAUAAAGUAACUGUUUUGGAGUCAGAGAAGAGAGUUUGGGAGAAUAGUCCUGAAGCUCAAGCUAGGAGAGAAGCUUUGAAUCCUUGGAGGCAAGUUGAUGCAGGAACUAGGAAAAGUUCCUAGGCCCUAGCUACGUUUUGGAGUUGUGCAGGCACUCAGAAUUUUGUUUUGAAGAUCAUCAUAAAGGCUACUUCAGCCGAUAGGAUUGAAAUUUUCGCGGAGGGUUUCAUGAACUUUGCUGGGUAUUCUCUGGUUUGCAUAUUGGAAGCACACUUCCAGAUUUUGAUAAUUUUUAGUUGUAGUUGGACUCGGUUGUCGAAUCUUAAUUUACUUUCAUACCUUUGAUCAUUGUUAAAUGACUGUGUAGCCUGAACUACCAUACCUCAUUGGGGGAUGGUGAAAAUUUUGCUUUGUCUUAUUUACGACUUGUCAGAUUAUUGAAGUAAAGGAGACAUGGAAGAGUACCAUACUCCAAUCCAUUAGGUUUUUGUCAAAU